GAAACGUCACCCCAACGCUGUGUUUACUAUGGGAUUUCUGUUUUUGCGCAAUGCGCAGCGACACAGGGCCAGGUGCAAGACGCAGGGCGCCAUUCGGUGCCAGAUGACGUUGCCACAUGUUGCGGAAGUAACUUCUGUCGUGAUCGUGGAGGGGGGAGGAGGAAGGAAAGGAGAGGAAAGGGAGAGGAAAAAAGAAGUUUAGACUCAUUCUCGUAUGAAGUUUACCAAAACUGCAAAGCUCCUGUCGGACAAAACCAUCGACCAUUUGCGGUGUUUGAUUACAUUAAGCUGAAGUUAGUCCAGCAGGAGGGGUUAACUUGGAGGAAAGGGAAGAGCUGGGUCAGCCACACCGUUCAGUCCAGCAGCCCACUGACAAGAUAUUAUACGGUGGAAGUUAUCACAGCUGAUGAAGUGGAUGGGAGGAGAAGGUCCAAUCAACAACUGAUCCAAAAAAUGGUAGAUUCGUGUCAAGAGCCAGACAAACCAGACAAAUGUGCACCUACACACAUUCGUAAAGGAUAAUAACAACACAACCAGAAGGAAAGUCUGAGACACAAUCUGUCAGUCAAAGGGCUGCAUCCGUACCACUCUGUCACAGCAUUGGCACAAUCCAAAAUCCACUUGAUUAAAAUUGGAUCUGUCCAAUUCUGCUCAAACUGUAUCAGUCACCAGUGAAAGCUUUAGUCCUGAUUGACGGCACAGCGUGGCACUUGUGAUUGUUAUAGCUUCACUCUGACAGGUGUAUGCGCUUGUGCACAUAGACCUACACUCAUCCCACAUAAAUACACACAACCACUGCAGAAAUAAGCUUUGAUUCUUGUAAGCAAUGAAUGUUACCACCGAUAUUAGCUUAGUAUUAGGCUUAUGAUGCUUUAAACUUAUUGAUGAAACACACUGGUGAGGUAUUAAGCUGCAGCAAACACCCUGUGGCUCUUGACAGAACAUAACACAGUUUUGUGUGGGUGUCUGUCCAUGGGAGGAUGUGCUAUAUCUGUCUGUCUGAUAUGAAGGUAUUUGUGUUAGUUUGUGUCUGUUUGUGUGCGUGUGCGUGUGCGUGAGUGCAUGCGCGUUUUCUGGAAACACAAGGUAGGAGUUUGUUUUUGAGGUCAUAGCAUGUGGUUGUCCGUCUCUACCCCUACACAAUGGGACCGAGUCUCAGCUGUGUUUCCUCUGCGUUGGUCGAGUGCAUCAUGCUUAGUGUUAAGUGCUUUGUGUAAACCACAUCUUGAGCUUGAGCUUGAGCUUGUGUGUAAUUUACAAAAACUUAGUUCACACUGUACUGAACUGACGAUGGUAUUUUGCAUUAGCUUGCCCUUAUUGUUGUGUUGGCUUUGACUUACACAGUGUAUCAGUAAGAAUCUGCUGUGCAAUCUACUUUUUGGUUGAGAAAUGCUUCUGUAUGUUUAUCAUAGAUGGUCUCUCUUUAUGCUAAAAGCUGAGAUUGCAUUUUCAGAAGUCACCUCUUUUUGCAGAUCAGGGCUCCUCCACAUUUGUCUAAUGUGUUGAAUGAGAGAUUAAAGUCGUACUUCUGCCAUACAAGGUCAGUCGAGGGUUGGGUUAAUAUCAGACCUGGAGCAGAAAGGCAGGAUAUUGUUGUUUUAUGCUCUAGAUUGUUCCCUAAACUGAUUGUAGUCAACAGUAAAUCUCCAAGAAGGUAACUAAUGCCCAAAGCAGUGACAUAACACUUUUAAUGCAGAAAACAUUCUAUUUUAAUUUAAUUGAAGCAGAAAGAGUUAUACAAUUAUUAUAAAAUUUAAAUGGUGGAAUUAUUUUACAAUAGGAAAAAAAAACUAUUGAAUGAACUAUUGAAUCAAUUUAAUUGUGACCAAGGCCUUUCCACUUUUCAACCAUAAUUACACAUUAUUCAUCUUUAUUUAUUAACUUGAAUGAAAUAGUUUUCUUUGGCACAGCAGCAGGGACAAGUAUUUAGUUGUGUCAAUGUUCAUCUGAACCUGUUAAACAAAAGCCUGGUUAAUAGACAAUGUAAAAAGAAACAAGGACAGGGCAUCAUUUCAUCAAUACAGCCUUACAUUCAGUAGUGUGAACACUAAUAAUUUUUUAAUUAUACUAUAUAUAUUAUAUAUAAUUAACCAUAUAUAUAAUUAUCUGUUCUUCUCAGAUACAGCAGCUUUUUAUGUAAUAACAAACACAAUCAUACUUAAGUAUAAAAUUGACAAAGUUUUCUCAUAAAUCAGGAAAAUCUGAUAUGGGAAUAUGUAAACAAGGCCUAAACAAAGCAAGUCAAAUGCUUUAGACUAAAUUGGUGCUCAGGAAGUAGUAAAGUUUGUCUGGGAACUUGCGUAACACUGUCUAGGUAAGUAAACCAUUAUAGCAAGUGGGGCAUUGUAUGUGGGGAGAGGCACAGAGUGGCAGCAGGAAGGGAAUGAUGGCAGGAGAUAGAGAUGUGGGAGUGUGGUUAGAGGGGGUGUUAGAAGGGGGUUGGCACAACCCAAAAUAGCCAGCUCACAUGUUUGGUGUGCUAUGAAACCGACAGAACAGCCUCCUCCUGAAUGCCUGGCUAAUCUAAUGUUCAUUCUUGACCCAAAUUUUUGAGAAUUUUUCUCUCUUCUUGUAAGUGAGUUCUUGCACGUCUCCUCCAGUCACAUGAGCUUUGCCUUUAUAAGUAAAAUUCUCUCUCCACUGUUCCUCUGCACUCACCAUCUUCAUCAUUGUCUUUGUUCUCUUCGUAAUGUGAACUGAUGUUAGACAGCAUUUCAAGCUGGCAGCAAUCCAGCAGGGAAAGGUCAGUGACUAGGCCUUCACUUAUUUGUUGAUCUAGUGUACGUGAGGGGGUGAGUGAGGCGGGUCAAAUCAGAUUACACACGUGCACGCACACAGUCGCACUCACAGAUAUACAGUAUAAGAGCAGACAGCAGAUGUGGCCCUGCAGCGUGUGCAUUAGCUCCAGAGCUGUGUCUCUGUCUGUCUCUGACUGUUGUGUCUAAUACAUAUUGACUAGCUGAGCUUCCACCAAGAGUUAUUCCAUCUUCUGGAUGCACAGAAACAAAACACACGCGCUAAAUUGCACUGGGCAAGCCGAGACACAAGCAUCCUACACACACGGCCCUUUCAGUUAAUUCCUUUCAUUCCACAGAGUAUGUUUCAACAUGCACUCUGCAUUAUUGCCUAUCUCCCAUCACUAUUGCACUUUCUUUCUCUCACUUUCAAUUGCUUCCUUCCAGUCAGUUGUGCUUGAUCUUUUCUUGUUAAUGUUGUCCCUAUGUGUGCUUGAUCAAUGGGUGAUUUUUAUGAAGGAGGUGCCAUGACCCUCUUCACAGCUGAUCCUGGGAGCAAAGCAUGCUGGGAGACAAGUAGCUGCGAGGGCAGCAAUGGAGGAACCUAUGAUUGGUUCUCUGCGUGUAAAUGUGUGUAUCUUGUGCUGAUGCGCACUU
ensembl:lncRNA